GUGCUCACUUUGGCAGCACAAAUACUACAAUUGGACCGAUACAGAGAAGAUUAGCAUGGCUCCUGUGUAAGGAUGACACGUAAAUUUGUGAAGUGUUCCAAAUUUUU
rnacentral:snRNA from 1 species